UACGGGGGGAGCAAGCGUUGUUCGGAAUUACUGGGCGUAAAGGGUUUGUAGGUGGCCCGCUAAGUCACACGUGAAAUCCCUCAGCUUAACUGGGGAACUGCGUGUGAGACUGGCAGGCUCGAGGGCAGGAGAGGAACGCGGAAUUCCAGGUGUAGCGGUGAAAUGCGUAGAUAUCUGGAGGAACACCGGUGGCGAAGGCGGCGUUCUGGACUGUCUCUGACACUGAAGAACGAAAGCCAGGGGAGCAAACGGG
rnacentral:rRNA from 1 species